rnacentral:lncRNA from 1 species
GACAGCGACGUCUGUAACUGCCUGGUAGUGGGCCGUUCAGGGCUACGCGGAGUUUGUUACGGAAAGUAGUGGCGUCAGAGGGCCGUUCAGGGCCACGUGGAGUUUGUUACGGAGAGUGGAGUGAUGUCCGUUGUCGUAACUUGCCAGAGAGUGGUGGAGCCAUGUGAAAUUCGUUACAGAGAGUGGAGUAAGGUAGUGGCCAUUGUCGUGACUUGCCAGAGAGUUUGGAUCUAUCGGUUGAAGCUCGGCUGGGAUGUCUGAUGGAGCAGAAUGGCUCUCUAUCUCGUCGAUCCAGGAGAAGCUCGAAUAUUUCUGAGGUUGCUGAUGGGUCUACUAUUGUUGGGUACCUAGAGCACUGAUGCUGCAGGCGGG